rnacentral:tRNA from 1 species
GCCUCUGUAGCUCAGUUGUUUAGAGCGCUGCACCGGAAUCGCAGGGCCGCAGGUUCAAUUCCUGCCAGAGGAC